GAUAUUGCUAUUCAAGCUGAAGAGAUAUUAAAAUCAAAGUCGUUACUGAACAAUCUAUUAUCAAUACAUACCAAGAGGCCCCUGAGUGAUAUAGAGUCGGCAGUUGAACGUGAUAAGUUCCUGUCACCGACUGAAGCUAAAGAGUUUGGACUCAUUGAUCAUGUACUACACCACACCACUAGCCAGUGACUUUAUAAAAAUUAUUAAUAAAAUUAAUUAUAAUAAUAAUCAUGUAAUAAUGUAUAGUUCUAACUGGCCACAAAAUAAUAAUAUUAAUAGUAAUAAUAAUAAUUAUUAUUAUUUUACAAAAAGGAGUGUAAAAGGAGAG